GUGUUCGAUUAAAGGAGAGAUGGUGUGUAUCUCCCCUGACAGGAUCAGGAACAGCCUUCCGGCUUCCCUAUUAACACGUGCAGUUUGGGACUUGUAUCAGAAACGAGAAAAUCCUUACCAUUGUUGU